rnacentral:rRNA from 1 species
GAUCAUGGCUCAGAUUGAACGCUGGCGGCAUGCCUUACACAUGCAAGUCGAACGGCAGCACGGGAGUAAUCCUGGUGGCGAGUGGCGAACGGGUGAGUAAUACAUCGGAACGUGUCCUGUAGUGGGGGAUAGCCCGGCGAAAGCCGGAUUAAUACCGCAUACGAUCUGUGGAUGAAAGCGGGGGAUCUUAGGACCUCGCGCUACAGGGGCGGCCGAUGGCAGAUUAGCUAGUUGGUGGGGUAAAGGCCUACCAAGGCGACGAUCUGUAGCUGGUCUGAGAGGACGACCAGCCACACUGGGACUGAGACACGGCCCAGACUCCUACGGGAGGCAGCAGUGGGGAAUUUUGGACAAUGGGCGCAAGCCUGAUCCAGCAAUGCCGCGUGUGUGAAGAAGGCCUUCGGGUUGUAAAGCACUUUUGUCCGGAAAGAAAACCUCCGUCCUAAUACGGUGGGGGGAUGACGGUACCGGAAGAAUAAGCACCGGCUAACUACGUGCCAGCAGCCGCGGUAAUACGUAGGGUGCAAGCGUUAAUCGGAAUUACUGGGCGUAAAGCGUGCGCAGGCGGUUCGCUAAGACAGAUGUGAAAUCCCCGGGCUUAACCUGGGAACUGCAUUUGUGACUGGCGGGCUAGAGUAUGGCAGAGGGGGGUAGAAUUCCACGUGUAGCAGUGAAAUGCGUAGAGAUGUGGAGGAAUACCGAUGGCGAAGGCAGCCCCCUGGGCCAAUACUGACGCUCAUGCACGAAAGCGUGGGGAGCAAACAGGAUUAGAUACCCUG